rnacentral:rRNA from 1 species
GAUUCGCCCGCCGCGCGCGGCGGGCGGGGCGGGGGCACGGGGGGACUCCUACGGGAGGCAGCAGUAGGGAAUCUUCCACAAUGGACGCAAGUCUGAUGGAGCGACUCCGCGUGAGUGAAGAAGGGUUUCGGCUCGUAAAGCUCUGUUGUUAAAGAAGAACGUGGGUAAGAGUAACUGUUUGUCCCUUGACGGUAUCUAACCAGAAAGCCACGGCUAACUACGUGCCAGCAGCCGAAU